rnacentral:rRNA from 1 species
CCCUAUGGGGUGCGCGGUACGAUCGGAGCCGAUGGAUGUUCUAUGAUUAUCGGAUGGGGGGCGUGGGAGCGACCCUUCGUCGGCACGUCGCGGGUCCCGUGAUGGCGCGGCUCGUGGCGGACGCGGAAUACAAGGCGUAUCCGUUUCUGAAUCUGUUCACGCAUUGGGAGUUCAACGGGGGACUGGUGCUGGGCGCCCGGGUGGCGGAGCCCGUGGAGGUGUUUGCCGGAGGAAUGUUUGGGUACAAGGAAUACACGGAAUCCAAAACCGACACCACCUGGGUGGAAGUACGGGAAGGGCGGCGUGUGUACUGGCAGGAAGUGAUCACCACCUGGGAGGCCCCUGCCACGCAGCAGCUCUCGCUCGUCGCGGGACUGUCGCUUCAACCCGGCGGAUCCUGGACGGGGAGC